rnacentral:misc_RNA from 1 species
UAAGGAUGGUAAGGGUUAAACAAUGCAAUUAUGCAAACAAGCAAAAGGGAGAUAAGAUAAGAGAGAACCUAUACCCUUUCGGCUCCAGUUCAGACGGGCGAGGGUUCUACUGUGGUCGCUAAACCCCCGCUUAAGCGAUCGCGGCUCUUCUCCUUUCCGACCACGAAGACCCCUGUUGCUGUCGCGCAACUCUCCUUCGUGAUCUCCUCUCAUCUGAGUCUCACAGAGAAGAAACCUCGUUUGUGCUCUUCUUCGAUUGGAAACGGAGAGGAGAAAGAUGAACAAGAAAGAGGUACUAAAACUAGCGAAAGGUUUUAGGGGAAGAGCAAAGAACUGCAUUCGUAUAGCAAGAGAAAGAGUGGAGAAGGCCUUGCAGUAUUCCUACAGAGACCGUCGCAACAAGAAGCGAGACAUGCGGUCUCUCUGGAUUCAACGCAUAAAUGCCGGCACCCGUCAACAUGGUGUUAACUAUGGGAACUUCAUGCAUGGUCUGAUGAAGGAGAACAUUCAGCUGAACAGGAAAGUUUUGUCAGAGUUAUCUAUGCAUGAACCGUAUAGUUUCAAGGCCCUCGUAGACAUAUCUCAUAAUGCCUUUCCUGGAAACAAAAAAUGCCGUACUUCCUCUCAGGAAGCUAAAACUUUCAGUUAAUGUAUAACUGGUAGUUUUGGUUGCUCAUCCUUUCACUGUCAUUCUGGUUUUUUUCUGAAACAAACCUUUAAAUAAUUGACUUUAUAUUUUCUUUAUUAGCUACUUUUUUC